rnacentral:rRNA from 1 species
AACAUGUGGCUAACCUACCCUUAGGACGGAGACACCCCGGGAAACUGGGGCUAAUACCCGGUAGAUUAGGAGGCCUGGAAUGGUUUCUAGUCGAAAAGGCGUUGAAACCAUGCUUUUCGACGUCGCCUAAGGAUGGGGCCGCACCUGAUCAGGUUGUUGGUGGGGUAACGGCUCACCAAGCCUAUAACCGGUACGGGCCGUGAGAGCGGGAGCCCGGAGAUGGGCACUGAGACAAGGGCCCAGGCCCUACGGGGCGCAGCAGUCGCGAAAACUCCGCAAUGCGCGAAAGCGUGACGGGGCUACCCCGAGUGCCGUCCGCUGAGGAUGGCUUUUCCCCGGUGUAAUGAGCCGAGGGAAUAAGGAGAGGGCAAGACUGGUGUCAGCCGCCGCGGUAAUACCAGCUCUCCGAGUGGUAGGGAUGAUUAUUGGGCUUAAAGCGUCCGUAGCCGGCUUAGCAAGUCUCCUGUUAAAUUCAGCGACCUAAUCGUUGAGCCGC